rnacentral:misc_RNA from 1 species
CUCCAACAUUGACAGAGGCUGCUCUGUACAGAGCUAGAAAACAUCUUUUUAAAGAAGAAAGACUUCAAGCUGAACAAGGGAGACUGGAAAGAAUAGGUCCUAUAGCAUAUUACUCAGAAUGGGUAAAAGCAUGGAAGAAAGACACCUCUUGUGAAGCUAUUCAGAAGCAUUUUGAAGAGACUGGUGAAGAUGAAAACACCCA